GCGCGGUGCGUGCGUAAAAUAAGCGGGAGUGAGCGUCCCACCCGGAAGAGGACGGGGGGCGUGGCUUAAGAAGGCUUAAAAGGGCCACGUGCGGCGGAGACUGUUCUGUUUGAAAUGGCGACGCGUCCAGAGUGCAUAAGAAUGCUUUCUACUUCUCUAUCAAAAUGGAGCAUCCACAUCAGGCCUCCAGUAGGCCUUUCACCAUGUUAUCCUGGGUGACUCCGGCUUUAAGGUAUACGGUCCUGUUCCCAGGAUGAUUGGUUCUUCAAGCAGAAUAUGACGGCCAAGUAGGGCAUCUGCCUUCUGAAUAAACCUUGGCCAAGCUGUCUGACUGCAUCUCCAUGAAAACAGGAAAGGUGACAAUUUGGAUGGAGUAGUCCCGGAGGAAGAAGUAUGGCUUUGAGAGGGAUCCCUAGAUCACAAGCCAAUUGAAGCCUGUUUCUGUGUUGUUUUACAUUGCUCUUGAAUAAGCUUUAUUUUGCUCCCUUGUAUUUGUAGUCUUCAUUAUGUGGACCAAAUAAGGGUGUGCAUUUUUUUAAAAGCAGUUUCCCUCAGACUCAGUUGAACAGCAUUUGGGUUGGGGAGAAACUGUCUAAGAUUGGAAGUCUUUUGCACAAGAGCAAUUACAUUCUGGGCAAUAUUUAUUAACUUAAAUAAAGCGUUAUAGAAGAACAA